UCUAUUUUGGCAGAUGAGUGUGAUGAAUUUAGAAUUCAUUAAAAUGGUUAAGCCAUAUAUAGAG
rnacentral:tRNA from 1 species